rnacentral:rRNA from 1 species
UACGAAGGGGGCUAGCGUUGCUCGGAAUGACUGGGCGUAAAGGGCGCGUAGGCGGAUGGCACAGUCAGAUGUGAAAUUCCCGGGCUUAACCUGGGGGGCUGCAUUUGAUACGUGUUGUCUAGAGUGAGGAAGAGGGUUGUGGAAUUCCCAGUGUAGAGGUGAAAUUCGUAGAUAUUGGGAAGAACACCGGUGGCGAAGGCGGCAACCUGGUCCUUGACUGCGCUGAGGCGCGAAAGCGUGGGGAGCGAACAGGG